rnacentral:rRNA from 1 species
AGCGAACGUUAGCGGCACGCCUAACACAUGCAAGUCGCACGAGAAAGGGAGCAAUCCUGAGUAGAGUGGCGCACGGGUGCGUAACACGUAGGAACGUACCCUUUGGUUCGGAACAACUCUGGGAAACUGGAGCUAAUACCGGAUACGCCCUGAUGGGGAAAGGUUUAUCUGCCGAAGGAUCGGCCCGCGUCUGAUUAGCUAGUUGGUGGGGUAACGGCCCGACCAAGGCGACGAUCAGUAGCUGGUCUGAGAGGAUGAUCAGCCGCACUGGGACUGAGACACGGCCCAGACUCCUACGGGAGGCAGCAGUGGGGAAUAUUGGACAAUGGGCGCAAGCCUGAUCCAGCCAUGCCGCGUGAGUGAUGAAGG